UUACGGUCAAAUCACGCUGAAACACCGGUUCUCGUACGAUCACCGAAGUUAAGCAGCGUAGAGCCAGAUCAGUACUUAG